rnacentral:lncRNA from 1 species
GUUCGGUUCAACCGGGGAAUCAUAUGGUUCAACCCGUUCAAAUGCCGGGUCAGUAUGUUCCACAACACCAUCAUUUGCCUAUGGGAUACCAUCACCAACCUCAGACUCAUCGGAUUCCUGGUCCUGGUCUGGGUCAAGUAUAUGGUGGAACUGCUAGGCCGGUUAUGAUGGCAGUUGAUGGAGUUAACCGGCCGGCUUAUUAUGAUAUGAAAACACCAGGUCCGGUUCAGAUGUAUCACAAUCACCCUGGCAUGGUUGUUCCUGGUAUGGAAGGACAAUACAGAACCGACGACGCUCUCAAUCUCGGCUCCUCCGCCGUAUCCAACGGUGGUUCCGGCAAAGGUUUCGAGCGCGUCAGAUCUGAAGUCUCCUCGAUCGUCUCCGAAGUUCCUGAUUACCUCUUCGGGUUGGAUACUUUCGACGAGACCGCGCCGCCGCACGAGCUCCGUGAUCGUGAUCCGAGGGCUAAGAUCCGACGAGAAGUCUCGACGCUUUCGGAUCCUGGCUCGCCUCGUCGCGAUGUUCCUUCGCCGUAUGGUUCGACCUCUUCGGCUCCUGUGAUGCGGUCAUCUACACCGGAACUUCAACCAGUUCAAACUAAACCGGAUGGUCCAGAACCGGUUUCGACUCCAAAAUCUGAUCCUCAACCGGAGCAAGUUAUUCAACAAAGUAAUCUUCCGGUUAACCCACAGUGGCAAUAUUCCCCUGGCCCACAGGUUCAUUACCAGCAACCGGUUUAUUAUGUUCCUAGUUCGGUUCAACCGGGGAAUCAUAUGGUUCAACCGGGCAAUCAUUUGAUUCAACAAGGCAACCAUAUGGCUCAGCAGGGUAAUCACAUGGUUCAACCCGUUCAAAUGCCGGGUCAGUAUGUUCCACAACACCAUCAUUUGCCUAUGGGAUACCAUCACCAACCUCAGACUCAUCGGAUUCCUGGUCCUGGUCUGGGUCAAGUAUAUGGUGGAACUGCUAGGCCGGUUAUGAUGGCAGUUGAUGGAGUUAACCGGCCGGCUUAUUAUGAUAUGAAAACACCAGGUCCGGUUCAGAUGUAUCACAAUCACCCUG